UGAUCGAAGAUAUGUGUUACCUCAUGUGC
rnacentral:sRNA from 1 species